rnacentral:lncRNA from 10 species
GUAGUUGUUAAUAUUCUCUAUGUUGGAAGUUUUUUGUAAUGGAAAGUUGGAAGCAAAACAAGAUAGGAAGCAAGGUGAACGCUGCAGAGUUCGACUGCGUCAGACGGACCAGAAGGCCGACUGCAGGCGGGCAAGGGCUAUGCGGUGGCGGUAGUGGUUUGAUACCUGACAUUCCAGUAGAAUGCACAAAAGCCUUUACUGAAAGGGCAGGAAGUCACAAGGCUUUCUGUAGGAAGAACACAUCCCUGUUCCACUGGCCCUUCCCCCGUGAGCUGGGGUGGGAGCUUCUCCUGUUCCACUGGCCCUUCACCCGUGAGCUGGGGUGGGAGCUUCUGGGUGUAGCCGGUUGCUCCAAGGCCUCUUCCCAAGUUCCAGGUUUACACAGGAGGCCUCAUGGCCACCUGUCCCAUCACCAGGGCCUAAAACCUGGUUGCUCUUCCUGUGGUUUGGGGAAUUGUGGGCCUGAGUGAUGUGGUUCUUCUGUCGAAGCUGGGGGACUGAACCACCCUGACUUGGGUGGUGCAGAGUCAGGGAACACCAGAUUUGUUUCUUCCAGCUGGGGCUUGGAGAAGCAAAAGGUGAGUACAGAAGAUAAGCAAUAAAACCAUACUGUGGCCAGGCGCGGUGGCUCACGCCUGUAAUCCCAGCAC